CCUACGUGAGGCAGCAGUGAGGAAUAUUGGUCAAUGGCCGAGAGGCUGAACCAGCCAAGUCGCGUGAGGGAUGACGGCCCUACGGGUUGUAAACCUCUUUUGUCGGGGAGCAAAGAGAGUCACGUGUGGCUCAUUGAGAGUACCCGACGAAAAAGCAUCGGCUAACUCCGUGCCAGCAGCCGCGGUAAUACGGAGGAUGCGAGCGUUAGCCGGAUUUAUUGGGUUUAACGGGUGCGCAGGCGGAGGUGCAAAUCAGUGGUAAAAUUGCGGGGCUCAACCCCGUACUGCCGUUGACACUGCAUCCCCUGAGUGCGCGAGAAGUAUGCGGAAGGCGUGGUGUAGCGGUGAAAUGCAUAGAUAGCACGCAGAACUCCGAUUGCGAAGGCAGCAUACCGGCGCGCAACUGACGCUCAUGCACGAAAGCGUGGGUAUCGAACAGGAUUAGAUACCCGUGUAGUC
rnacentral:rRNA from 1 species